ACCAGAAUUGGAACUCUGAAGACUAGCUACAUAUGUAUGUUUAGACAUUUGCCAUCUUUGAGGAUAAUGAAACCAGGAAUCAACUUUUCCCUCCGCAGAAAACUCUGUAUAAUGCCGGAAAAGAUUGACAGGCCUGAGUAGGGAAAGAACUCAGUUAAUGAACAGAUUUUCUAGUCGGGCUACUUAUGCAGAGAAUUUAUAAGUUGUGUCACUGAUAGACAGAGGAAACACUCCAGGGCAAAGCAAUGAAGGACAAGUUAUUAUCAUUCAAUGGUAGAGAAAUUUCAUGUAGCCACUUGUAUCAAAAAAUAAAAAUUUCCAGAUAAAUUGACUGACCUGGAAAUAUUUUCUAAAAGAGAUGUCCGUACUUUUUAAGUUUCAGAUUUCUACCUUAGAACAAAUAUGGAAGAGAGGAGGGAUAAAUCUAGGAGAUUAUUUCCUCAAAAGGACUCAAAUGGGAGCUUCUCAAAUUACAGUGGAUUCCCUCUAUGAAAUCUUUUGAUGACUCAUUGAGAUAUAGUGGCAAGAUUAAGGUGCAAUGAAUUUUUUGAAGAAUCAGGGUUGAAAUAUGAUAUAUGAAGAAGUUUCCAGAUUAAGGUUCUCGUUGCAUUCUUUUCUUGACCAGAAGUUUCCUGAUUUAAGGUUAUCUAUGAAAAUUGAAGGUCAUAACCCCACUUUUCAUACAUCAACUUUCUAUUUAUCAUUCAGAUUUCAUCAAAUGUUUAUUGUCUCAUUGAAGCAUUUAGCCAUAUAGAAGAAAGGAGGAAUAGCGUAGAAAGAACUCGAUCAAUGGUUAGUUGUGCUUUCUGAAUGUUGCUUUCAGUUCUUUUUUCAUUUCUUGAUGUUUAAUUUGAAAGUAUAUCACAGCAUUUUUUGUUACAACGAAUGAACAUAAACUCUUCUAAUCAAUGAGGAUGACAAAUCACUUCUUGAAAUCUUACACCCACCAUUGAAUGUGGAGAAAGUACGGCAAUGGAAUUACAGAGGCAACACUAUUUUCUCUGACUGGAUGGUGUCCUUAACCAACCUCAGGCUCUUAAGAAUUUGUCAUUGCAUAAACUGCACUACCAAACCACCUUGUUCAGAAUACAACAUUGGAUAUAUUCAUUGAGAAUUGUCCUAUGUUAGGCCACCCUUGAAGGGCAAAAUGAGAGAGCAUUUUCCCAAAACAAGUUUAAAGGAUGAUGUCGAACUGCCCUGUUGAAUACCUGUCAAUGGCUUUCUCUUAUGCCAGGGAGCUUCUCCAAUUUCAUUGAAUUCCAUCUAUGUAUUACUUGGAUGGUUCAGUGAGGUACGUUUGUUUCUUAAUACUUCUAUCUUGAGGAUAUUGAGAAAUUAAAAUGCCAUUUACUCCUUAACCAAACUUGACCUUUUUAUGAUAGUUUUGAUGCAGUGAAUCAAGUUUAAAAUUCCAUCCAAUUUCUUUAAACAACACAUCAAAUUUCGUCUACAUAGCUUUCUAUCAUGCUGAAAAAAUUGGACAAACCUGGAAGUAUCUUCUAUGGGAGAUGUCCAUACUUUUAAGUCAUAACCCAACUUUUCAUAGAUUAAUCAUCUGAUAAUGUUUAUGCAUUUUUUUAACUUUUUAUACUAAGGCAUGCAAAUUUCUACCCUACAACAAAUUUGGAAAAGAGAACGAUAGAUAUAGGAGAUUGCAUACUCAAGAGAACUAUAAAAUUGGUUUUGCUUUCUCUGUUUUUUCUUGAUUUUUAAACUUUAUUGCACAUCAAAGCAUUAAUAAUGGUUGAAAAUCCAUGUUCUUUCCUUUUAAUCUUGAUCUUGAUAUGUUAAUUUUGAUGCAGAGAGGCAAGUUUAAGAUGUCCUGAAUUUGCAAAUAUGAUGUAUUAAAAAGUUACCUAUGAUUGAGGUUCUUGUUGCAUUCUUUUUCUUGACCAAAAUUUACCUAUGUUAAGACAUUAGCUCUGCUUGAUCUUAUUAAAACCAAGCAUCAAAUUUUGUUAACAGAACUUUGUAUCAUGUUGGACAACGUUGACAGACCAGGAAAUAUUUGUGUCCCUACUUCUUGAAGAUCAUAACCCCACUUUUCAUACAUCAAUUUUCUGAUAAUGUUUAAGCUCUUUUUGACUUCCAACUAAAGCAUAUAAAUUUCUAUUUAUAGUUUCAAAUUUUAUCAGAUACUUAUUUUCUCAGCGCAGCAUUUUGCGUUAUGGAAGAGAGGAUGAAUGACAUUAGGAAAUAGUCAAAAGAAUUUGAUUGAUGAUUGAUUAUGCUUUCUCAAUGCUUCUUUUUGUUCUUCUUCAUUUCAUCAAAUUACACUGGAUGCCCUCUUUAAAAUUUUGUUGACUCAUUCGAGGUUUGCUUCUAGUUCUCUCUCUACUUUUUAGGACAUUGGAAAACCAUGUUCUCUAUAAUAAAACUUGAUUUUGAUAUGUUUUUUUUGAUUCAGUGAGGCAAGAUGUCAUGAAUUUGCUGAAGAAUCAAGGUUAAAAAUGAUAUAUAUAUCACAGAAGUUGCCAGAUUGAGGUUCUA